AUUGAACGCUGGCGGAAUGCUUUACACAUGCAAGUCGAACGGCAGCACGGACUUCGGUCUGGUGGCGAGUGGCGAACGGGUGAGUAAUGUAUCGGAACGUGCCCAGUCGUGGGGGAUAACGUAGUGAAAAUUACGCUAAUACCGCAUACGAUCUAUGGAUGAAAGCGGGGGAUCGCAAGACCUCGCGCGCUUGGAGCGGCCGAUAUCAGAUUGGGUAGUUGGUGGGGUAAAGGCCCACCAAGCCAACGAUCGGUAGCUGGUCUGAGAGGACGACCAGCCACACUGGAACUGAGACACGGUCCAGACUCCUACGGGAGGCAGCAGUGGGGAAUUUUGGACAAUGGGCGAAAGCCUGAUCCAGCCAUUCCGCGUGCAGGAUGAAGGCCCUCGGGUUGUAAACUGCUUUUGUACAGAACGAAAAGGUUUCUACUAAUACUAGGAGCUCAUGACGGUACUGUAAGAAUAAGCACCGGCUAACUACGUGCCAGCAGCCGCGGUAA
rnacentral:rRNA from 1 species